rnacentral:rRNA from 1 species
CAGUCGCCACGGUAAUACCAGCAGCCCAAGUGGUGGUCGCGAUUAUUGGGCCUAAAGCGCUCGUAGCCGGGCCGGUAAGUCCCUUGUGAAAUCGGACGGCCUAACCGUUCGGCGUGCAAGGGAUACUGUCGGUCUUGAGGCUGGGAGACGUCCGAGGUACUCCGGGGGUAGCGGUGAAAUGUUCUGAUCCUCGGGGGACCACCGGUGGCGAAGGCGUUCGACGAGAACGGGCCUGACGGUGAGGGGCGAAGGCUAGGGGAGCAAACGGGAUUAGAUACCCCAGUAGUCCCUGUCUCUUAUA